rnacentral:piRNA from 1 species
UGGUGUAUUAGUUUAUACUACAAGGA